GUGCCAGCAGCCGCGGUAAUUCCAGCUCCAAUAGCGUAUAUUAAAGUUGUUGCAGUUAAAAAGCUCGUAGUUGGAUCUCAGGUCCCGGCUCGCGGUUCACUUCGCGGUGCUUACUGCCCGUCCGGACCUACCCGCCGGUUUUCCCUUGGUGCUCUUCAUUGAGUGUCUCGGGUGGCCGGAACGUUUACUUUGAAAAAAUUAGAGUGUUCAAAGCAGGCGCUUCGCCUGAAUAAUGGUGCAUGGAAUAAUGGAAUAGGACCUCGGUUCUAUUUUGUUGGUUUUCGGAACUCGAGGUAAUGAUUAAGAGGGACAGACGGGGGCAUUCGUAUUACGGUGUUAGAGGUGAAAUUCUUGGAUCGCCGUAAGACGAACUACUGCGAAAGC
rnacentral:rRNA from 1 species